rnacentral:rRNA from 1 species
CAGCCUACGGGACGCAGCAGUGAGGAAUAUUGGUCAAUGGGCGCGAGCCUGAACCAGCCAAGUCGCGUGAGGGAAGACGGUCCUAUGGAUUGUAAACCUCUUUUGUCGGGGAGCAAAAGACGCCACGCGUGGCGUUCCGAGAGUACACGAAGACAAAGCAUCGGCUAACUCCGUGCCAGCAGCCGCGGUAAUACGGAGGAUGCGAGCGUUAUCCGGAUUUAUUGGGUUUAAAGGGUGCGCAGGCGGAAGAUCAAGUCAGCGGUAAAAUUGAGAGGGUCAAGCUCUUAGAGCCGUUGAAAAUGGUU